rnacentral:lncRNA from 1 species
AAGGGAGGAGUAGUCACCAAAUGACAGGGUUCACUUGUUUUCCAAUUCAAUAUUGGAUUGGCAAUACGGGUUCACAUGUUGUAGGCUGUUUAUGAUAUAACAAUAUAUUUAAUUUUAGCCGAGCAAAAAGAAUUGGGUUGAAGAACCCAAAUGUGUAAGACUAAAUAAAGAUAUAGCUAAUUAACCAACAGUUUUGGCGACAUUUAGCAAUUAAUGAAUCAGAUGAAACCAAACCGACCAAAUACACAGCAUUUGUAAUGAAAAGAAGUCUGCAACAAGAGAUUAUAGAGUCAAAGUCAGGAAACUACGUGUUGCUACAACCUUUGUCCC